GCCUAAUACAUGCAAGUCGAGCGAAUCGAYGGGAGCUUGCUCCCUGAGAUUAGCGGCGGACGGGUGAGUAACACGUGGGCAACCUGCCUAUAAGACUGGGAUAACUUCGGGAAACCGGAGCUAAUACCGGAUACGUUCUUUUCUCGCAUGAGAGAAGAUGGAAAGACGGUUUUACGCUGUCACUUAUAGAUGGGCCCGCGGCGCAUUAGCUAGUUGGUGAGGUAAUGGCUCACCAAGGCGACGAUGCGUAGCCGACCUGAGAGGGUGAUCGGCCACACUGGGACUGAGACACGGCCCAGAACUCCUACGGGAGGCAGCAGUAGGGAAUCUUCCGCAAUGGACGAAAGUCUGACGGAGCAACGCCGCGUGAACGAAGAAGGCCUUCGGGUCGUAAAGUUCUGUUGUUAGGGAAGAACAAGUACCAGAGUAACUGCUGGUACCUUGACGGUACCUAACCAGAAAGCCACGGCUAACUACGUGCCAGCAGCCGCGGUAAUACGUAGGUGGCAAGCGUUGUCCGGAAUUAUUGGGCGUAAAGCGCGCGCAGGUGGUUCCUUAAGUCUGAUGUGAAAGCCCACGGCUCAACCGUGGAGGGUCAUUGGAAACUGGGGAACUUGAGUGCAGAAGAGGAAAGUGGAAUUCCAAGUGUAGCGGUGAAAUGCGUAGAGAUUUGGAGGAACACCAGUGGCGAAGGCGACUUUCUGGUCUGUAACUGACACUGAGGCGCGAAAGCGUG
rnacentral:rRNA from 2 species